CACCUAAUAGCUAGCCCAAACAACUAAAGCAGUAUGAUUAUGAUUAAAAACUUAUAAUACACUAAAUAAACCAUUUUUAACCCCUAGUAUGAGCGACAAAAAAGGACAUAGGAGCUAUAGACAAAGUACCGCAAGGGAAAGCUGAAAAAGAAAUGAAACAAACCGUUUAAGUGCCGAACAGCAGAGUUAAUCUCUCGUACCUUUUGCAUCAUGAUUUAGUAAGUAAAAUGCAAGCAGAGCGCCCUUUAGUUUGCAACCCCGAAACUAUGCGAGCUACUCCAAGACAGUCUAUAAGGACAAACCCGUCUCUGUGGCAAAAGAGUGGGGAGAGCUUUGAGUAGAGGUGAUAAGCCUAUCGAGCACAGUGAUAGCUGGUUGCCUGAGAAAUGGAUAGAAGUUCAGCCCUUUAAAUUUUCCCCCCCUACUCACGCCUGUUAAGAUCAAGAAAAAUUUAGGAGUUAGUCAGAAGGGGUACAGCUCUUCUGAUAAAAGAAACAACUUUAGUAGGUGAAACAGGAUCAUAUUAACCAAGGACUAAGAUUUAAGUGGGCCUAAAAGCAGCCAUCUUUAAAGAAAGCGUUAAAGCUCCAACUAGCUCUCUGCCCUAUAUACUGAUAUCAAUUUCCCCCCCCCUACCCCCUACCAGGCUAUCUUAUGCCCCCAUAAGAAUAAUUAUGCUAAAAUGAGUAAUAAGAAGAAACCAUUUCUUCUCCCAGCAUACGUGUAAGUCAGACCGGACCCCCCGCCGACUAUUACCCGACCCCAACCCAAGAGGGGCAUAAGUUAAAAAAACAAGAAGAUCGCUUAACCAAAAUCGUUAACCUCACACAAGAAUGCAGCAAGGAAAGACUAAAAGGGAAGGAAGGAACUCGGCAAACCCAAGCCUCGCCUGUUUACCAAAAACAUCGCCUCUUGACCCACUAAUAUAGGAGGUCUCGCCUGCCCAGUGACCAAGUGUUAAACGGCCGUGGUAUCUUAACCAUGCGAAGGUAGCGUAAUCACUUGUCUUUUAAAUGAAGACCUGUAUGAAUGGCAAAACGAGGGCUUAACUGUCUCCCCUCCCCAGUCAAUGAAAUUGACCUCCCCGUGCAGAGGCGGGGAUAAAUAUAUAAGACGAGAAGACCCUGUGGAGCUUUAGACUUAAAAUAACCACGUUUAACAAACUCCCACACAAGAAAAAACUUAGUGAAGACUAUUUGAAUGUCUUUGGUUGGGGUGACCGCGGGGCAAAACUAAGCCCCCAUGAAGAUUGGGGAGAUAUCCCUAACACCAAGAGUUCCCCCUCUAAGCAACAAAAAUUUUGACUUUAAAACGAUCCGGGCUAACCGAUUAACGAACUCAGUUACCCCAGGGAUAACAGCGCAAUCCCCUUUCAGAGUCCCUAUCGACAAGGGGGUUUACGACCUCGAUGUUGGAUCAGGACAUCCUAAUGGUGCAGCCGCUAUUAAGGGUUCGUUUGUUCAACGAUUAAAGUCCUACGUGAUCUGAGUUCAGACCGGAGUAAUCCAGGUCAGUUUCUAUCUAUAAAGAACCUUUUCCUAGUACGAAAGGACCUGAAAAGGGGGGCCAAUACACCCUGCACGCCCCUUCCCCAACCGCUGAAACCCAAUAAAACGGAUGAGGGCACUCAUGAAUUCUCCGAAGAGUUCGGAAA
rnacentral:rRNA from 1 species